rnacentral:lncRNA from 1 species
CCCACAGGCAGCCCCACAGGGACCCCAUAGAGCCCUAUAGACCCCCAUAGAGACCCCAGGCAGCCGCAUAGGGCCCCCCCAGGGACCCCACAGAGCCCUAUAGGGCCCCAAGGAGCCACUGCAGCGUCCCCUGGCAGCCCCACAGAGGCCCCAGGGGCCUUAUAGGGCCCUAUAGGCCCCACAGAGCCCCCGGAGAGUCCCCCAGGGUUCGCUAUAGAGGCCUACGGGUCCCCACGGAGACCCAAGAAGACCCUAUAGAGCCCUGUACGCCCUCCCAGAGCUCCCAGGAGCCCCACAGAGCCCCCCAGGGACCCCAUAGAGUCCCCAGGCAGCCCCACAGGGUCCUUAUAGCACCCCAUAGGGCCCCAAUAUCGCCCCGCAGAGCACUAAUAGAGCCCUAUGGGGCCCCAGCAUCACCCCUUAGGGCCCUUAUAGUGCCCCAUAGGGCCCCAAUAGAGCCCCAUAGGGACCUAACGGAGCCCCAGAGAGCACUAACAGAGCCCUAUAGGGCCCCAAUAAAGCCCCAUAAGGACCUUGUAGUGCCCCAGAGGGCCCUUAUAGCACCCCCUAGGGCCCCAAUAUCACCCCCUAGGGCCCUUACAGUGCCCCAUAGGGACCUUACAGCACCCCAUAGGGCCCCAACAUCACCCCCUAGGGCCCUAGAGGCACCCCAUAGGGCCCCAAUAUCACCCAUAGAGCCCCAAUAGAGCCCUAUAGGAACCUAAUGGAGCCCCACAGGGCCCUACAGGACCCCAACAGAGCCCCAAUACCACCCCUAGGGCCCUUAUAGCGCCCCAUAGGGCCCCAAUACCACCCCCUAGGGCCCUUAUAGCGCCCCAUAGGGUCCCAAUACCACCCCCUAGGGCCCUUAUAGCGCCCCACAGGGCCCCAAUAUCACCCAUAGAGCCCCAAUAGAGCCCUAGAGGGACCUAAUGGAGCCCCACAGGGCCCUAUAGGACCCCAAUAGAGCCCCAAUCCCACCCCCUAGGGCCCUUAUAGCCCCCCACAGGGCCCCAAUACCACCCCCUAGGGCCCUUAUGGCACCCCAUAGGGCCCCAAUGUCACCCAUAGAGCCCCAAUAGAGCCCUAGAGGAACAUAAUGGAGCCCCACAGGGCCCUAUAGGACCCCAAUAGAGCCCCAAUACCACCCCCUAGGGCCCUUAUAGC